GGGCCCGCACAAGCGGUGGAGCAUGUGGUUUAAUUCGAUGAUACGCGAGGAAACCUUACCAGGGCUUAAAUGUAGUGGGACAGGUCUAGAGAUAGACCCUUCUUCGGACUCAUUACAAGGUGCUGCAUGGUUGUCGUCAGCUCGUGCCGUGAGGUGUCAGGUUAAGUCCUAUAACGAGCGCAACCCCUAUCGUUAGUUGCCAGCGGUCAUGCGGGAACUCUAGCGAAACUGCCGGUGCAAACCGUGAGGAAGGUGGGGAUGACGUCAAAUCAGUCACGGCCCUUACGUUCUGGCUACACACGUGCUACAAUGGCCGGUACAGAAAGCAGCCACUAUGCGAAUAGGAGCU
rnacentral:rRNA from 1 species